rnacentral:rRNA from 1 species
AUGAACGCUGGCGGCGUGCCUAAUACAUGCAAGUCGAGCGAACGGACGAGAAGCUUGCUUCUCUGAUGUUAGCGGCGGACGGGUGAGUAACACGUGGAUAACCUACCUAUAAGACUGGGAUAACUUCGGGAAACCGGAGCUAAUACCGGAUAAUAUUUUGAACCGCAUGGUUCAAAAGUGAAAGACGGUCUUGCUGUCACUUAUAGAUGGAUCCGCGCUGCAUUAGCUAGUUGGUAAGGUACGGCUUACCAAGGCAACGAUGCAUAGCCGACCUGAGAGGGUGAUCGGCCACACUGGAACUGAGACACGGUCCAGACUCCUACGGGAGGCAGCAGUAGGGAAUCUUCCGCAAAGGGCGAAAGCCUGACGGAGCAACGCCGCGUGAGUGAUGAAGGUCUUCGGAUCGUAAAACUCUGUUAUUAGGGAAGAACAUAUGUGUAAGUAACUGUGCACAUCUUGACGGUACCUAAUCAGAAAGCCACGGCUAACUACGUG